AUCCAGCUGACGAGUCCCAAAUAGGACAAAGCGUACGUCCUAAAU
rfam:Schistosoma mattheei strain Denwood, Zambia genome assembly, scaffold: SMTD_scaffold0017527